rnacentral:siRNA from 1 species
CUCCGGCUCUAUGUGAUUGUGG